rnacentral:rRNA from 1 species
UUUCUACUUGGAUACCUGUGGUAAUUCUAGAGCUAAUACAUGCUAAAAACCUCGACUUCGGGAGGGGUGUAUUUAUUAGAUAAAAAACCAAUGCCCUUCGGGGCUCCUUGGUGAUUCAUAAUAACUCAACGAAUCGCAUGGCCUUGCGCCGGCGAUGGUUCAUUCAAAUUUCUGCCCUAUCAACUUUCGAUGGUAGGAUAGUGGCCUACCAUGGUUUCUACGGGUGAAGAAACAUUCCGUUGCCCGUAGGCACGAUCGUUGGGGGGGUUUUCGGGCCCUUCCGGCGACACCGCUGGCUCCGAAGACGCCCGAAGAUGGGGCCGACUCGGGGGUGAGCUUCCGACUGGAGCCGCCCGAACGCAUGCAAAGCGGUGGGCUUCGUACGACCCGAGGCUUUCGGUACAUGCUACCGCCCGGCCAAUGCGCCGGGUCGGCAAAACGAACGGGGAAUUAGGGUUCUAUUCCGGAGAGGGAGCCUGAGAAACGGCUACCACAUCCAAGGAAGGCAGCAGGCGCGCAAAUUACCCAAUCCCGACACGGGGAGGUAGUGACAAUAAAUACUGAUACAGGGCUCUUUUGGGUCUUGUAAUUGGAAUGAGUACAAUUUAAAUCCCUUAACGAGGAACAAUUGGAGGGCAAGUCUGGUGCCAGCAGCCGCGGUAAUUCCAGCUCCAAUAGCGUAUAUUAAAGUUGUUGCAGUUAAAAAGCUCGUAGUUGAAACUUGGCCUUGGCUGACCGGUCCGCCUCACCGCGUGCACUGGUUCGGCCGGGGCUUUCCUUCUGGGGAUCCGCAUGGCCUUUAUUGGUCGUGUUGGGGAACCAGGACUUUUACUUUGAAAAAAUUAGAGUGUUCAAAGCAGGCCUAUGCUCGAAUACAUAGCAUGGAAUAAUAGAAUAGGACGUGUGGUUCUAUUUUGUUGGUUUCUAGGACCGCCGUAAUGAUUAAUAGGGAUAGUCGGGGGCAUCAGUAUUCAAUUGUCAGAGGUGAAAUUCUUGGAUUUAUUGAAGACUAACUACUGCGAAAGCAUUUGCCAAGGAUGUUUUCAUUAAUCAGUGAACGAAAGUUAGGGGAUCGAAGACGAUCAGAUACCGUCGUAGUCUUAACCAUAAACUAUGCCGACUGGGGAUCGGACGGUGUUAUUAUUUUGACCCGUU